rnacentral:SRP_RNA from 1 species
GCUAGGCAUGGUAGUGCAUGCCUGUAAUCCCAGCUACUCAGGAGGCUGAGGCAGGAGAAUCACUUGAACCCGGGAGGUGGAGGUUGCAGUGAGCCGAGAUUGUGCCACUGCAUUCCAGCCUGGGCAACAGAGUGAGAUUCUGUCUCAA